GGCCGGAGGCCUUUGCAGAGAGCCCCGCGUCCCUAGGGGGCGGCGGCGGCGGCGGCGGCGGCGAGGGCAAAGGGGGGAUCCGGAAGUCAACACCAUGUCGAGUCUGCACAAGAGCAGGAUUGCAGAUUUCCAGGAUGUCCUGAAGGAGCCCACGAUCGCUUUGGAAAAGCUUCGGGAACUCAGUUUUAGUGGCAUCCCCUGUGAGGGCGGACUUCGGUGCCUCUGCUGGAAGAUUCUCUUGAACUACCUCCCCUUGGAGAGAGCCUCAUGGACCUCCAUUCUGGCCAAACAGAGGGAGCUGUAUUCUCAGUUCCUGAGGGAAAUGAUUAUCCAACCUGGCAUUGCCAAGGCCAACAUGGGUGUGUCCAGGGAGGAUGUGACCUUUGAGGACCACCCACUCAACCCCAACCCCGACAGCCGCUGGAACACAUACUUCAAGGACAACGAGGUGCUGCUGCAAAUCGACAAAGACGUCCGGAGGUUGUGCCCAGAUAUAUCUUUCUUCCAGAGAGCCACCGAGUACCCCUGCCUCCUUAUCCUGGACCCCCAGAAUGAGUUUGAGACCCUGCGUAAACGGGUGGAACAGACGACGCUGAAAUCGCAGACAGUGGCCCGGAACCGGAGCGGAGUCACAAAUAUGUGCUCCCCACACAAGAACUCCACGCCCUCUUCCCUGAACGAGUAUGAGGUGCUGCCCAACGGCUGCGAGGCCCACUGGGAGGUGGUGGAGCGCAUCCUGUUCAUCUACGCCAAGCUCAAUCCUGGCAUCGCUUACGUGCAGGGCAUGAACGAGAUCGUGGGGCCCCUCUACUAUACCUUUGCCACCGACCCCAACAGCGAGUGGAAAGAGCACGCCGAGGCGGACACCUUUUUCUGCUUCACCAACCUCAUGGCUGAGAUCCGGGACAACUUCAUCAAGAGCCUGGACGACUCACAGUGUGGCAUCACCUACAAGAUGGAAAAGGUGUACUCCACCUUGAAGGAUAAAGACAUGGAACUCUACCUGAAACUGCAAGAGCAGAACAUCAAGCCCCAGUUCUUUGCCUUCCGCUGGCUGACACUGCUGCUGUCCCAGGAGUUCUUGCUGCCUGACGUCAUCCGUAUCUGGGACUCCCUCUUCGCCGACGACAACCGCUUCGACUUCCUCCUCCUGGUGUGCUGUGCCAUGCUCAUGCGCCCCUCUGCUUGUUUUCCUUAGACUGAUCCGGGAGCAGCUGCUGGAAGGGGACUUCACCGUAAACAUGCGGCUCCUGCAGGAUUACCCCAUCACAGAUGUCUGCCAGAUCCUUCAGAAAGCCAAGGAACUCCAAGACUCCAAGUAGCCUCCUGGCAAGAGGCCCAGGUUUGGGAGAGAAGACACCGACCCCUGUGCCCUGGCUUCUGGGACACGCAGAAGCCUGUGGGAUCCCAGCCAGCCUGAGGGGAAACUGCAGGAUUGGCCCACUCCAGGCCUCCUCACCCGGCUCCCUCCCCCUCGGCCGCUCCCGCUGGGGGCACACUGUGCCAUGUUCCUUCCUAUCCAUGCAGCCCUAGCUCUCUCCCUGCUCUUCAUCCUGGGGACCUUUUGCCCAGGCUGCCGAGCAAGGCUGGAGCUCAUGGGGUGGUUUUCCGGGGCUGGGGCACAUUGGGGGCACUGGGGCCCGGCAAGGGUCCUUCCCUGCCUCUGCUCGGCUGCUCCCUUCCUGUUCUCCUGCUCUGGUCUUCUGGGCUCUGGUCUCGGGAGGUGCUUGGCAAAUGAGCCAGAAACCACUUCUUCUGGGGGUUGGUGCUUAGGCUUCUCCAUGGGGAAGGUGACACUGUGAAGGAGCUAAGAAGCUGCCAGGCCCAGGUCAAACUCUCUGUCCCUCUCCCCGCGAGUGUGUGUUUCUGUCUGUAGUCCUGGGUGGGCGUGUGUGUGUCUCUUCAUCUCCCGGGUGUCUGCUGCUCCUGUGUGGUGUGUGUGUGUGUGUGUGUGUGUGUGUGUCCAUGUGUAUAUGACGGGGGUGGGGUGUCUUUGGUCCCUCGAGGGCUCUUUCUCCUCCCCUUCUCCCUCUGCCUCUUUCACAGAGGGGAUGUGUGACUCCCUCUCGCUCUGUCUGCCCCUCUGUUGUUCUUCCUCUGCCCUUCUCUCUUGGGGUGCCUUAUCCCCAGCUCUUCCCCCUCCUCCCCUCCACGAACCCCAGAAACAGAAUGAGGAGUCUGGCUCAGCAAAAUCCCUGGGGGUCAACCUUGGCCUUUGCACCCUGUUCACAUUCCCAGCCCUGGGCCCCCAGGUCGCACAGACGGGGAGGGAGUCCACAGUGCCUCAGCGCAGGGUCCUGAAUUGACUCCCAACAGAAAUGUUGGAAACCAAAAGCUGCUGAGAAAUGAUGGCCCGUAAGGCUUUGGGCCCCUUACCCUCCUUUCUGCCCAGGGGAUGGAGGAAGGAGAAGAGGGAAAGCUGGGGCUUCCAGAGAUUCCCCCAAAAGGCCCUUCUCUCCCAGAGGAAAAGGACCUGAAAGCGAUAGUGUACCAGGGGUUGGGAUCCAAGUGUUUCAGAAGAGUCGUUAUUCUUGUGGCUCCCAGGUCCUAGCCCAGGGCAGUGAGUCCCAUAAAGGGCAAGUGGGACCAAUGGGAGUCUCCCUGGGCCAGGUGUAGCUGAGCUUAAAGGCCCUGGAUCCUCUUGGUGCCAGGAGAGCCACGUCUCCCCCGGGCAGGCUGAAGGAGGUGCUGGCCCUUCCCUGGUCACCUGCUUGGGCUGUUCCCAGGAUCUGGGGCAGGGACACUCGGAGCAGGAGCAGCUGGCUACUCUUGCCGCGGGGCUGUGGGAGGAGUGGGCACAUUCUGACCAAGGCCCGCCCUCCUGUGAGGAGACAGGUGGUUUGGAUCUGGAAGGCUGGGCGAUACGGCAAGCGGCCUCCGCCUCAGACUGGCCAGCAGUGGCCCUUUUGUCCCCAAAGCCUUCCCGAGUCCGGCAGCCAGGACUUUGUGCUGCCUUCCCGGGCCCGGCUGUGGGGCCCAGGAAGAGCUGCCCCCAAGUGGCUCCUGUACCAGGCUGUACCUUGGAUGCUGCUGGGACUUUACGCACUUGCCUUUUUGCCGCCACCCCUCCCAACAUACAGUACUUGGGAGAUUUUUUUUUUUACUGUAUUUAUUCAGACUCCUAGUUAUUUAUUGCAGACUGGCAAGUGCUUGGUUUGGGGAUGAAGGGUGGGGCUGGGAAAGUAUACAAGCAGUUGGAGGUCUUCCUGACCUUCCAAGGUCAGAGUCAGCAUCCUCUCCACCUGUCUGUGGGACCUUCCUGGUUUUCCAGCAGGUUCUGGCUGGGAGGGCUCUGAGCUCUGCACUGCAACUGAGUGUAAGGGAUACAACAGGGUGGGUGUCGUCUCCAGACUGCAAGACCCCAGCAUGGCACAGAGACCCUGCUUCCCACCAGCCUGGCUCAGCCUCUUCCCAGAACUGCUCAGCUGGUGGUUCAGUCCCAACUUUGAGCCCUUCACAGCCUGAGGCUUGGGCCACAGCCUGGGGCCCAGCAGCCUGCUCAGGACACCUGAUGCAUUCCCUCUUGCCUGUCCCCCGCCUACCCUCCUGGGGCCAUACUACUUGAGUCGCUGCGUCUGAUUUGCCUCAGUGGCAGACUUAGGUCCAGUGCUCUUUCCUUGACCUUGGGAUGAGGAUCGGGAGCACAGGGACCAUGUCCAGAUUACACGGCGCUCCCCAGUGGGAUACUGCCUGAGGAAGGGACAGGCCCUUGGUGAUUUCCCCUCCCCAGAUUCUCAAGGGAGGUGCCUUGAGAGCCAGCAUGCCCAGGGCUUCCUGGUUGGGAGCUGCCCCCAGGACUUCGGACACUUAGAGAUUGGGCUGUAAGAAUUCUGCAGGUCUCACUCCAGGGUCAGAAUGGAAGUCUGCUUUUGUUUUUUCAUCUGUUUUAUUCCUUGAAUCAAUGCUGUUGAUGACAAGUUGUCUUUAAUAAAUCAUGUGUUCUUUGCA